rnacentral:lncRNA from 1 species
AUCCGACUCGUGUUCGAUCCAUUAUAAAUAGAUUUAGAUUGGUGCUAAAUAGGUUUAGAUUAUAAACAGGUUGAUCCAUUUAAUCAGAUUAAUGUUUGGAUCAAAUUUGGAUUUUAGAUAUUUGAUCCGUUUAAUCUGUUUAAUAUUCAAAUCGGAUUGAGUCCAAUAAUUCAUUUAACUUAUUUAGCCUGUUUAACCUAUUUUUGAUCCAUUUAAUCCAACCUGUUUUACCCGUUUAAGAUCUAUUUAACCUGUUUAAAAUCUAUUUAAUCUAUUUCUG